rnacentral:rRNA from 1 species
AACACAUGCAAGUCGAGGGGCAGCAUGAAGUUUGCUUGCAAACUUUGAUGGCGACCGGCGCACGGGUGAGUAACGCGUAUCCAACUCCCUAGUAGAGGAUAGCCCGGCGAAAGUCGGAUUAAUACUCUAUCGUUGUAUUUUGAGGACAUCUGACGAAUACCAAAGAUUCAUCGCUAAGGGAUGGGGAUGCGUCUGAUUAGCUUGUUGGCGGGGUAACGGCCCACCAAGGCGACGAUCAGUAGGGGUUCUGAGAGGAAGGUCCCCCACAUUGGUACUGAGACACGGACCAAACUCCUACGGGAGGCAGCAGUGAGGAAUAUUGGUCAAUGGGCGAGAGCCUGAACCAGCCAAGUAGCGUGCAGGAAAGACUGCCCUAUGGGUUGUAAACUGCUUUUAUCAGGGAAUAAAGUUCGGCACGUGUGCUGUUUUGUAUGUACCUGAUGAAUAAGGACCGGCUAAUUCCGUGCCAGCCGCAGC